ACAUCUUUAGGAUAUUGUCACGUGACAUUCCAAAUCAAUGGCAUAUUUCUUACAAUUGUAUAUGGGUAAAAUAUGACACAGUUAGGGGCGAAGUGACCGAUUAACACCCUAGAAAGGUCACUCUCUGUGCCGAUAGGUACCACACACCAGUGUGCAAGUGACCGCAAAGCAGGAGGCCACCGAUUGUCGGAGAAUACUUGCCAAAUUAUCGAUCUUCCGCCAUGAAGACUCGACUCGUACGUUCGUGAAAACGAAACGAGGAAAAUAAGUUAUGAGCCUUGUUUACAUUACAGCUAAACAAGACGCCUGACUCUUCAAUUUUGGUUGUGUUGCUGAAAUCUUACGCCAAAGGGCGUCUAUAUGUGAGAUGUGAAGUGUUUUUGUGUGCUGAUUAGAACCCGAGGAAAAGAGAGAGAGAGACAUUUAAAUUGGGUUGCUGAUGCGAUUGAGGAUAUUGGCUGAUUUCUUACGAUGGCAAAUCAUAACCAGAACGGGUCCACAGGGACCAAGGUUUUCAAAAAAAGCAGUCCAAGUGGGAAGAUAACUACAUACCUAGGAAAACGAGACUUUAUUGAUCACCUAACUCAUAUAGAUCCCAUAGGUAAGAGACACAAGAGAAAGAAAAUUCAUUGGAUGCAAUUCAGUGAUCUUUGAACAUUGAGGUACACUCUGAUGAACCUCAAGAUGGAAUAGUUCUGAUUGAUAAAGAUUCCCUCAGAGGAAGGAAAGUAUUCGCCCAUGUGUUGGCUGCGUUUCGUUAUGGACGUGAAGACCUGGAUGUGCUCGGUCUGACUUUUAGAAAGGACCUUUACUUGGCCAAUUAUCAAGUGUAUCCCCCAGUGGAGGACCAGGCUAAACCCCUCACAAACCUACAGGAGCGCCUCAUCAGAAAGCUAGGACCAAAUGCCUACCCUUUCUACUUUGAGGUAAAAUUCCUGAGGCAUGUUCAGCAGAGCGAGCACUCACAAGCGCUUGCCAAAGUUUGUGUUGCAGGUAUAGGGAAUUUGGCCUGCGCUUGCUCUGUUUAACACACGUCUGGUUUCCUCUGAAAAAUUAUUUAACAUGUUUCCAAACUUCAUAUGAAUUAUUUUUUAUUUCUUUGUUUGGUUUCACUUUUUAACAUGUUCUGAUAUUCUAUUUGAAAAAAACUAAUUGUAAAUUAUUGUUACUUUUUGAGUAUAAGGCAUCAUGAUAUUUAACUAAUGUACAUGCAUGUAGCUUUUGAAAUAAAAAUUAUCAUUUCCAGCCACGUUGUUCACUAAAAAUUUAACAUGUUUAAUCUCUUAUAUAAAAGAGUUGUCCGGGAUUGAAAAUUUC
rnacentral:misc_RNA from 1 species